GNNGCCGUACAUGCAAGUCGAGCGGAAACGACANUANNNAUCCUUCGGAUGNNUUAAUGGGCGUCGAGCGGCGGACGGGUGAGUAAUGCCUAGGAAAUUGCCUUGAUGUGGGGGAUAACCAUUGGAAACGAUGGCUAAUACCGCAUAAUGCCUACGGGCCAAAGAGGGGGANCUUCGGACCUCUCGCGUCAAGAUAUGCCUAGGUGGGAUUAGCUAGUUGGUGAGGUAAUGGCUCACCAAGGCGACGAUCCCUAGCUGGUCUGAGAGGAUGAUCANCCACACUGGAACUGANACACNGUCCANACUCCUACGGGAGGCAGCANUGGGGAAUAUUGCACAAUGGGCNAAAGCCUGAUGCAGCCAUGC
rnacentral:rRNA from 1 species